AACGCACAUUGCGCCCUUUGGUAUUCCAAAGGGCAUGCCUGUUCGAGCGUCAUUUCACCACUCAAGCCUGGCUUGGUAUUGGGCGUCCGCGGCGGCCUGCACUGGCGGCCGCGCGCCCUAAUGUCUUCGGCUGAGCCGUCCGUCUCUAAGCGUUGUGGUCAUUCAGUGCGCUUGCGAGGCCGGGCCGGCUUGUCGCCGUUAAACCCCCCAUCUCAAGGUUGACCUCGGAUCAGGUAGGGAUACCCGCUGAACUUAA
rnacentral:misc_RNA from 1 species